rnacentral:lncRNA from 1 species
ACCGUGAGGCGAACCUCAGCCGGUUUCCCAGCCCCGCCGAGGCCCGCUGGGGCGAAGCGGAGCCCCGGGGGGCCCUGAGGAAACCGGCGCGGGUUCGUUUAAUUACGCCCUUCUCGCCAGACCUCUGGCUGGCCCUGAGCUGCUCAGAAGCCCAUCUGCGCGGCAUGCCCGUGCGAUCUGAGACAACUGGCAGCUGUCUUCCUUUGCAAAACGAGACUGUUAAUAAAACCUACCCCAGGGUAGGACGGACUGUUCGCAGAUGAAUGGAUAAGCAACCUGGAGCAUAUCCAUACAAUGGAAUACUACUGAGCAAGAUGAAAGAACAAACUGCUGAUACACACAGCAACACAUCUGACUCUCAAGUGAAGAAAGCCCCUUUCAAGAGGCUGCAU